rnacentral:misc_RNA from 1 species
UUGUAAAACGACGUUAUGCAUGAACGUAAUGCUCAUAACUUCCCUCUAGACCUAGCUGCUGUCGAAGUUCCAUCUAUAAAUGGAUAAGACUUUGUUCUUAGUAUAAGUGUAAACGAUUUUUUGAUUGGAAAGUAAAGGAGCAAUAACCAACACUCUUGAUAGAAUAAGAAAUUGGUUAUUGUUCCUUCUUUUUUCCUUAGAUGUUGAUUUUUUUAUAAUUUAUAUACAUUCUUUUUAACCCUUUGUAAGGCUUUGUGAAAUUAUUAUCUUAUCUUCUAGUUUUUUUUUUAUGGAAUAUAAAUACUAGUAAUAGUGGGGGCGGAUGUAGCCAAGUGGAUCAAGGCAGUGGAUUGUGAAUCCACCAUGCGCGCCUGUGUUAAAUUGU